rnacentral:rRNA from 1 species
GAUGAACGCUAGCGACAGGCUUAACACAUGCAAGUCGAGGGGCAGCGGGGUUGUAGCUUGCUAUAACUGCCGGCGACCGGCGCACGGGUGAGUAACACGUAUGCAACCUGCCCGUUGCAGGGGGAUAAGCGGAAGAAAUUCCGUCUAAUACCACGUAAUAUACUUUAGGGGCAUCUUUUUAGUAUUAAGGAUUUAUCGGCAACGGAUGGGCAUGCGGCGCAUUAGCUAGUUGGUGAGGUAACGGCUCACCAAGGCGACGAUGCGUAGGGGUUCUGAGAGGAAGGUCCCCCACACUGGUACUGAGACACGGACCAG